rnacentral:piRNA from 1 species
CCCUUCUUGAAGCUAAUCUCGGGGUUCAC